rnacentral:rRNA from 1 species
GAUUAACGCUAGCGGCAGGCAUAAUACAUGCAAGUUGAACGGGAUUAGUUUAGCAAUAGACUAUGAGAGUGGCGCACGGGUGCGUAACACGUAUGCAACCUGCCCUUGACUGGAGAAUAGCCUCUCGAAAGAGAGAUUAAUGUUCCAUAACAUAAUGAUAGAGCAUUCUAUUGUUAUCAAAGCUCCGGCGGUCAAGGAUGGGCAUGCGGUUGAUUAGCUAGUUGGUGAGGUACGGCUCACCAAGGCGACGAUCAAUAGGGGGUCUGAGAGGAUGGCCCCCCACACAGGUACAGAGACACGGACCAGACUCCUACGGGAGGCAGCAGUAGGGAAUAUUGGUCAAUGGAGUCAACUCUGAACCAGCCAUGCCGCGUGCAGGAAGACUGCCCUAUGGGUUGUAAACUGCUUUUGUACGGGAAGAAACCUCCGAAUGCGUUCGGAGUUGGCGGUACCGUGAGAAUAAGGAUCGGCUAACUUCGUGCCAGCAGCCGCCGUAAGAC